CCAAAAAUAUUUCUGUUUGUGUACAAACAGUAAAUACUAUAUCUACUCUUACUUCGAAACAACAAAAUAUCUACACGGACUUUUCUUCUUCCACAAGGUAACAAUUAGCUAAACUCAAAUCUCUCAGUUCAUGAAUAUAUAUAUAUCUAUAUCAGUGUCUGAUUAUUGUUGCAUGCUCUCCCUGAAGUUCAUAGCUCUAGACAUCGCUGCAGGGUUUGCUUGUAGACUGUGAGAAGUUUCAGUGACCAAGCUGCUUCUGUUGCUGUUACCCUUUGUGUCAAAUCCAUUGAACAAACUGAAUCCUUGCGUUUUUUUCUCGGGUUUUGUCGGUAACUUAGACCACACCGCGCUCUUAGUAGCUUCGCUAUUCAUUUUAAGAGGUUCUGAAACCAAUCUUGCUCUUGUAGUAGUUAUUGUUGUAUUAGUAUCAUUGAUUCUUCCUUCAGUUUGAUCUCUUGACCGUUUUCCUAAACACGGUGAUGUCUCUGAGGUAGGGUAUAUCGGAACCGUGCAUCCCCAAUAAAAGGGGACAGGGUAGAAACUAGCAUUAGGACCCGUUGGACUCCAUUGGUAAGGCCAAGGAGAAGAAUUAUUAGGUAACAUUACUUGCGGAGGAAGAAACCCUUGGUAGGUUUUGUGUUCUUGGGAAACUGAAUCAGCGCUUAUUUUUGUUGUAUCUCUUGAUUGAUGCUUACCAGCCUCUGUCACCGAAGAUUCCGAAGAACCGAAGCUAAGGAUCGUCCCGGAGUUAUUAUUAUCACAAUCCUCAGAAGUGACUUGCAAGUAAUGGUUU
rnacentral:lncRNA from 1 species